GGUUGUGUAGUGUAGCGGUUAUCACUCCGGAUUCUGAUCACCUCAGGAGCUUCCGGCAACCCCGGUUCGAUUCCGGGCACGACCU
rnacentral:tRNA from 1 species